CCUACGGGUGGCUGCAGUGAGGAAUAUUGGUCAAUGGGCGGAAGCCUGAACCAGCCAAGUAGCGUGCGGGAUGAAGGCCCUACGGGUCGUAAACCGCUUUUGCACGGGGAUAACACCCUCCACUUGUGGAGGUCUGCAGGUACCGUGCGAAUAAGGGCCGGCUAAUUCCGUGCCAGAAGCCGCGGUAAUACGGAAGGCCCGGGCGUUAUCCGGAUUCAUUGGGGUUAAAGGGAGCGUAGGCGGGCGUUCAAGUCCGCUGUAAAAUCGCGCGGCUAAAACGCGCACCGCAGUUGAAACUGGACGCCUUGAGUGCACAACAGGCAGGCGGAAUUCGUGGUGUAGCGGUGAAAUGCAUAGAUAGCACGAGGAACACCGAUUGCGAAGGCAGCCUGCCGGGGUGCGACUGACGCUGAGGCUCGAAGGUGCGGGUAUCAAACAGGAUUAGAUACCCUUGUAGUG
rnacentral:rRNA from 1 species